rnacentral:lncRNA from 1 species
CAACAGUAGUAUACCGCUGUUCAAAACUCAUAAAUCCACGGACAAAAAACAAAAUCGGGGUAACAAACUAAAACCGAGGGAAACGAAUUGAAUAUAAGAGGAGAACAACGACACAACACUAAAAUGUAACACACACAGAAACGGACCAAGCAUCAGACAAAAUCCCACGAGAAUAACAAAUAUAACACCAAACCAAAUACAUGAAUUUGGGAUAGACAAGUACCGUGGCACGUCUUAUCGUAAUGUGAAAUUACACUCAAAAAUAAGAGAAAACAAACGACGCAACGUUAAAAUGUAACACACAC